rnacentral:rRNA from 1 species
GCCCGCCAGAGAACUAUAAGCGAAAGCUUGAAACCCAAAGGACUUGACGGUGUCCCAAACCAACCUAGAGGAGCCUGUCCUAUAAUCGAUACCCCACGCUCCACCUUACCCACUCUUGUAUUUCAGCCUAUAUACCGCCGUCGCCAGCCCACCUGAUGACAGUCCUCCAGCAGGCACAAUUGUGUAACACAAAAACGUCAGGUCAAGGUGUAGCUAAUGAGUGGGCCAGAGAUGGGCUACAUUUCCCAACAUGGGAUACCACCAAACACAACAUGAAAAUAAGCCAAAAGGCGGAUUUAACAGUAAGUGUAGACAAGACAUGCCACACUGAA